rnacentral:lncRNA from 1 species
AUGGAAUGGCAAACAUAUGGUGGGGAUCCUGGCUCCGGGACGCUUCAGAGGGCUCGGGAUCCAGUCUCCGGCAGUAAGGGACCGAUGGCCUUUUUGCCUUUCCCCGGACACCAAACGAAACAUCGUGGCCGUAUUGGGUCUCCUCGGGAGGCCUGGUGUAACCCGGUGGCAUCUGCUCUCGCUCCGUACGCCUUGGGGCCAGAGACGGAGCACGCCCCCUCGGCGUCACGGGCCCGGCGGGCAAGAGUACAAGGGAUGCCCUCUGGGGGAUCCUCACGCUCACGUCUCACCGACGGCCGCGUGGACCUCGGCUGCCUCCCUGCAGCAGCCCGGCGGGUGCUUUUGAAGACUGAGGGUUCUGGAGUCUGCUGCAGGGGAAUUAGAGGCACUUCACGGUUGCUUGGACAUUGCCAGUUCAGUAGGAAAAGUGAUUCUAUGCGCCUUCCUUGGUUACUGCUGCUCUGCCCCAUUGGGGCCAUGGACCAGAGUUUGUGCUUGGCUGAUGUGGCCUCCGGGGCUUCUCUCUCUCCCUCUCUCCCUCUCUCCCUCUCUCCCUCUCUCCCUCUCUCCCUCUCUCCCUCUCUCCCUCUUUCCCUUUCUCUCCCUCCCCCUCCCUCCCUCCCCCUCUCUCUCUCCCCCUCUCCCCCUCUCCCUCCCUCUCCCUCUCUCUCCCUCUCUCUCCCACCCCCCACACUCAUAACCACCCCUUCCUCUCCCUCUCCCUUUCCCUGUCCCCCCAAAAUGGGUAUUAAAUCUGUAAACCCCAAGUGGGACAUGGACUGUGUCCAACCCGACCAACCAGACCUAACUUCUACCUACCCCAUAAUAAUAAUAAUUAUGGUACUUGUUAAGUGCCUACCACACGCCAAGCACUGUUCUAAGCGUUGGGGUAGAUGCAAGAUAAUCGGAUUGGACGCGGUCUCUGUCCCACAGAGGGCUCACAGGCUUCGUCCCUGUUUUACGGAUGAGGUAGCUGAGGCAUUGAGUAGUGACUUGCCCAAGGUCUCACGGCAGGAGGGACAGAUUAGAACCCAGGACCUCUGA